rnacentral:rRNA from 1 species
UAGGAAUUGGCGGGGGAGCACAGCAACGGGUGGAGCGUGCGGUUUAAUUGGAUUCAACGCCGGAAAACUCACCGGGGGCGACGGUUACAUGAAAGCCAAGCUGAUGACUUUGCUAGAUUUUCCGAGAGGUGGUGCAUGGCCGCCGUCAGUUCGUACCGUAAGGCGUUCUGUUAAGUCAGACAACGAACGAGACCCUCAUCUUUAAUUGCUACUGGUAAGUCCGCUUAUCAGGCACAUUAAAGAAACCGCUGGCGAUAAGUCAGAGGAAGGCGAGGGCAACGGUAGGUCAGUAUGCCCUGAAUCCUCCGGGCUACACGCGCGCUACAAAGGCCAGGACAAUGGGCUUCGACACCGAAAGGUGAAGGUAAUCUCGAAACCUGGUCAUAGUUCGGAUCGAGGGUUGUAACUCACCCUCGUGAAGCUGGAAUCCGUAGUAAUCGCGGAUCAACAUCCCGCGGUGAAUAUGCCCCUGCUCCUUGCACACACCGCCCGUCAA